rnacentral:rRNA from 1 species
GACGAACGCUGGCGGCGUGCUUAACACAUGCAAGUCGAACGGAAAGGCCCUGCUGGUGUGGGGCGCUCGAGUGGCGAACGGGUGAGUAACACGUGAGUAACCUGCCCUUGACUUUGAGAUAACGUCAGGAAACUGGGGCUCAUACCGGAUAGGAGCUCCUGCUGCAGGGUGGGGGUUGGAAAGUUUCGGCGGUUGGGGAUGGACGCGCGGCUUGUCAGCUUGUUGGUGGGGUAGUGGCUUACCAAGGCUGUGGCGGGUAGCCGGCCUGAGAGGGUGACCGGCCACAUUGGGUCUGAGAUAGGGCCCAGACUGCUACGGGCGGCAGCCGUGGGGGAUGUUGCAUGAUGGGCGGAAGCCUGAUGCAGGCACGCCGCCUGCGGGAUGGCGGCCUUCGGGUUGUAAACCGCCUUCGCCUGUGCCGGAGCGUGAGUGACGGUAAUGGGUAAAGAAGCACCGGCUAACUACGUG